UAACCUCAUCCAUUAUUAUUCUUAAAUUGACACGAUGCAGGGAAUAUUAGCAUGGCCCCUGCACAAGGAUGACAUGCAGAUUUGUGAAGCAUUCAAUAUUUUU